rnacentral:lncRNA from 1 species
AUGCCUUGGGGUCACGGAGUUAACUGCAGACUCAGACUAAGUGGGGCUCCAGCAGCGGUCAGCCCCAGAAACAAGUUCCGGAGCCAACACCCGAACAGGAAGGGGCCUUGCCCCAGGCCGGAGAGGCCCCUCGCCCACGGCCGAGGGGGUGGGGCGGCCUCGCCUCGGGCCGGUGCUUUUCGCCCUUCCUUGGCCGCCAGAGGCUCCCUCUCUCUCCCUCUCCCGGGAUUUUGCUGCCGGGCUCCCUCUCUCUGCGGCCCUAGAGUUAAUCCCAUCAGCCGAGGGAGCUCGUCUCUCUCCGUGUCACACUGGGAUCCGCCUGGCAGCCGCCGGGAGCCGCAGCCAAUGUGUUAGGACUUCAGGUGCUUCUUGGCACAAAGCUAGACUGCGACCUCCUACCAUAGCGCUUGGCGUCACCUGCUCUCCCGGUCCUGCCCCAGGGCCGAGGGAUUGCGUCCCGAACCGGGCUUGGGAAUCGGCUGCCUCUCAAGUUGGUGUUAUUUAUGUUUGUCUUUUGUGAGGGCAGGUUUUGAAUCCCCCGGCGGCCCCAUCUCCCCCGCCCCCGCCUCCUCGGGUUGGAAUUGGCGGGGGAGGGAAUGGGGUGUGUGUGUAGGGGAGAGGGGAGGGUGUUUGUGGCUUUAAAAAGAAUGGUCAGGGUAAAAGGAGAUUGUCGAUGCUUUACAAAAAAAGGAAAAACAGGCACCACACUCCAAAGCCUUUCUUGUUUGUCUGCAUGGGCCAUGCAUGCGUGCUGGGCCAGGAGCCGAGUUUGGAGACGUUUUAAGUGAAAGUGUGUGCCUCCUCAGCUGUUUGUACGUGAGGGUGAUGUGGCUCGGUCUAACAUCAAAACAAAACAAAAAUAAAAUGAGAAAUCUUUAGAACUGCCUGCAUUGUCUGCUCUUCAGCAUAUCUUGAAGUAUUUGAUUGCUGGCUUAUUGAUAUAAAAUCCUGCUGUGGGCUUAAGGAGACCAGCAAGCGUGCAUUGCGUAGCGUUUUGAACUGUAGUAAGUUAGAGGCAAGAAAGAAUAAACAAAUCAGGGCUGUGAAAAGGGGUGUCACAGUAUAUUUGCUUUCUGAUUGUCACAUUGUUACGCAUUUAUUCCCAUGGUAGUCUGCAUCCCACUCCAUAAUUAAUAAUAACCACUGUUAGGAAACUUCCAAAUACUUGUUAUAACUGAAUUUAAUGAAACUUAUUGCCAUUCAGGAACUUUUUUUCCUCCUUGUUUUGGUCUGAAAUUGCAUUAGUAUUGCUUUGGGGAUGCUGUAGAUGAGAAUAUUGGACCAGAAAAAGUAAAAUAUGCCUCUGUAGGCGUGUUUUGGAGUUUGUAAACAUAGAUUCCAAACUUAAUUGUACUUAAAAAGAAUAAGUUCCAACUAAUUGUGGAGAAUCCUGAAUGAAGUUGAUUUUCUGGACAGUUUGUUGAUUUCUUAAAGAUCGAUGAACUGCUGGUUUCUUUUUAAAGGGCAUUCACAAAAGUGACUAAAACUUGGGCUAAAGUAUUGCUUUCAAAUAUACUUAUGUGUAACUUGUAUUUGUGAGUGUGUGUGUGUGUUUGAGAUUUUGAUAGGUAUCUCCAAAUUGUGUUUGAAACAUUUUUUACCAAAGACAAUCAGAAUGAUAACUUCUUGACUUUUAACUUCCCGUUUCAAUGAGUAAGCUCUUCUGUUUGCCACGUGGCUAAGCCAUUUGGAAAAUAAAAUGUAUGUUAUUUGAUUAGACAUAAAUUCAAGUAAGUAAAUGAAUUCAGAAA